UGGGUGUUCAAUAUGGUCAGACAAUUAGCUCCAGGGAGCAGAAUAAUGAUUUAAUAACUUUUCACAAUUAGUUAGUGAGGCUACCCUCGAAUAAAUGGAGUAAUCAAGGCUUUAGAAAUUUGCUAGCAGGUGGUGGUGACUAAGAUGUAAGAACACACCAUGUUCUGGUAUGACUCAACUUCGACAGGACAGUCAAGUGUGAGAGGCUAAGUGUGAGAAGCAGCACAGUUUUAUGAAAAGACAUGCAGGAAGAAGGUGGGAAUUCUCCUGUCUCUUUUUCUAGUGAACAUCUGGAUUUUGCCGCUUGUCAGAGCAUGGACAUUUCUGAAACACAAGAGUCAUAACACUAACAGCACCAAAUGAAGUCAGCUGGCACGUCUGAGUGUCCAGAAUGAUAUAUUUCUUAAAGUCAGAAAUUGUUCAGCAAAUACAGAUGAAGCUUGGGAAGUAGCAAUGAUGGGGAUGCUAACAAGGGAUCCUGAACUUGGAGUAAGAGGCUCCCUUUGGUCCCAGAGAUCUGUUUACCACACAUACAUGUGACUUUUCCUCUGAAAGUAUGCACCUUGUUCCAGAUCUGAUGGUGAUCUUAUCUAUAUAAAUGAGCCCAAAUAGACCACCCAGCUCCCCCUUGGCGAUGGCACAGAACACAAUGCUAGAUAUCCAGGGGGCACUCUGGCAUGGAAGAUCUACCCAACCAUCAGCGAAACCUGUCAGUCUACUCUUGGUUAGCCCCCUGCACCUCCCCUCCAGCUUCCUGAACAAAGUUCAUCCUCACAGAUCAUCCUCUAGAUCCCAGCUUCCUAAACUUUAUAAGGGGGUCCCAUCACCCAGUAUAGGAGGUGACUAACGUUUGUGAUAAUAAAGGAUUUCAGAA